CAUUCAAUAGCCGAUGAUUAAUUAAAUUAAUCAAUGUGUUGUAGUUGUUUUGUUAAAAAAAAAAAAAAAAAAAGUUUAACUUUCAGCUAUAAAAUACAAUAUAUUUACAGUAAUUUACUGCUUGAUUUUCAUAUUUCAGAUGAGGAUUACUCUAACCCUGACUGUCCUGCUAGUCGCGGCUGUGUGCAGUACUGAUGCCUGGAGACGUUUUAGAGUGCGCUUCAGAGGAGUGCGCAGAGUGUGGCGUAAAGUUAAACCAAUCGCAAUACAAGCAGCAAGGUGCUACGUCAUCACACACGGUAUCGGGGCCGCUGUGGCGUUGGGAAAAAGAAGUGCGAAUGAAUUUGAUACUAACACGGAUGGUGUCAUAGAUCAGCCAGAACUCGAGUCGUUUCUUAAUACCAGGGAUGCAGUCAGAUUUCUUCAAUUGACUGGUAACGAUAAAAUUGAUGUUGAAGAAUUUCAGCAAGCAAUGGAUGAGGCGAGACGUCAUUAUUGAGUAAAUUUAAUAAAGGUUCAUUGGCCAAUACGUGAGAUGACGAAUCUACCAAAUUAUUUUAUCCUAAUAAAGCUUAGAAUAAC